CGCUGGCGGCGUGCUUAACACAUGCAAGUCGAACGAUGAACCAGGGCUUGCCCUGGGGAUUAGUGGCGAACGGGUGAGUAACACGUGGGCAACCUGCCCCAGACACCGGGAUAACCUCUCGAAAGAGUGGCUAAUACCGGAUAUGACCACUUCGGGCAUCCGACGGUGGUGGAAAGGAUUCUGGUCUGGGAUGGGCCCGCGGCCUAUCAGCUAGUUGGUGGGGUAAUGGCCUACCAAGGCGACGACGGGUAGCCGGCCUGAGAGGGCGACCGGCCACACUGGGACUGAGACACGGCCCAGACUCCUACGGGAGGCAGCAGUGGGGAAUAUUGCGCAAUGGGCGAAAGCCUGACGCAGCGACGCCGCGUGAGGGACGAAGGUCUUCGGAUUGUAAACCUCUUUCAGCAGGGACGAAGCGAAAGUGACUGCACCUGCAGAAGAAGCACCGGCUAACUACGUG
rnacentral:rRNA from 1 species